AGGGUCUCUUUGAACCUGGAGCUUCUAUUUCAGCUAGACUGGUUGGCCAGUAAGCCCCGAGAGUCUGCCUGUCUCUAUCCCCCUCCAAGCACUGACUUAGAGUUCCAUGAUGUGGUGAUUAAGGCUCGCCAUAUGCUCGCCCUGCUGGGAGUGAGUACGUGGGAUAUAAAAGAUGGAGAUGAUCUGGUCCCUGCUGGCAGCAGCUUACUGUCCAGCUGAGGAAAUGGAAUGACUAAUACUGAGCAGCCAGCCACAUCCCCAGCAAGAGUGUGGAGUGUACCGGCCAAGUGGGAUCAGAUGACAGUCUCGGCAGAACGCGCUGGCAGGGGCCCAGACAAACAGGAAGCGGCCUCACUUCUGCCAUGCCCUUUGCAAAGGCUGAGCCUACACGCCCUGCCCACCCCCCCCAGCAAGGGCCAGCAUUGGGGAAGGAGUUGGGCACUGUGAGAGCUGAGACUGGUGAGCUGUGCUGGAGUUAUGAUGGCCGAAAGGACAGGAUGCACACAGAGCCUUGGGCAUCUGAGUGGAAACCCACUUCACCUCCAUCUCUGAAGACACUACCAGGAGCAGAAACGAACAGCGAGGAGCCUUCCCCACAGCUCAAACACGUCCAGCCAGGCCACACAAGUGGCAUGGAACGUUGGGCAGGCAGACAUCCCAUAUGGCCAGCUGAGGCAAGAGGAGCUGACAGCUUCACUACGGGAGAAGGCAGACACUGAAGACCACAACAGCAACUCACCCUGGCUCUCAAGCUUUUGGACCGGAACUCACACCCUCAGCUAUCCACGGUCUUCAGUGUGGGACUUGUUGGCCUUCGGAGUCAUUCCAGCCAGCUCCUCAUGCUGUUAUACAUGUCAUAUAUACAUCUGUGUAUAUAAUAUGUAAAAUACGUAGGUUUCAUAUUCUGUUGAUUCUGGUUCUCUGGAGGGCCCCGACUAAUCCAGGGAGACCCACCCCCUACUCAGAGAUAUCCCAGCAUGCUAAGCUGUAAAAGCUAACAGAGACGGGAGAGCUUUGUCCUGCUCCUGAACUAUAACAGCAGGCCUCUGAGCAGUACUGGGACAUCUGGUAGGGAGAUGAGUUCCGUGUUCUGAAAAGACCCUUCCAGUUCUCAGUCUCUGCUUUAAAAUGAACAUAGUGAAACCUCAUGUGGCCUUUCUGCCUAUGCAUCAGCAGGGCCCCUGUAGCCAGAGCAGAAGUCACAUGACAGAGGCUUGGUCCUUAGCUUCUCUUUUUGCCCCCACCAUUUCCACUACUGAGCUCACAGGGCAGGUGAGCUCCUCUGAUUCCUAACCCUUCCACAAAGAUGCUGAAAGAUAGGUGAGGAUAGCCAGGGAAUGGGAGACUGGGAGGAAGCCUAGGGAAUCCUGAGACAAUACCAGGAGACAGAGCAGCGGAUGAUAGACCAGCAGGAAGGAUGAAAGAACAGGUUAUCCCUACACCACGACCCCCUCCUGCUCCCCACUUCCAUGGCUCAGAGUCAUGGUAUGUACGGUGUGUGAGGCUCUGGGUGAAGACAGGAACCCAGAGCGUUUCUACAAGGAAAUAAUGGGCACAAAGAAGAUGUAAAGGCUACUUAACCCAGAAAGGAAAGUUCCCGUCUUUGUGUACUCUAAAUAAAGAUUAAGAAGGAAA